rnacentral:rRNA from 1 species
UAACCUGCCCAAGAGAUCGGGAUAACACCUGGAAACAGAUGCUAAUACCGGAUAACAACAGAUGAUGCCUAUCAACUGUUUAAAAGAUGGUUCUGCUAUCACUCUUGGAUGGACCUGCGGUGCAUUAGCUAGUUGGUAGGGUAACGGCCUACCAAGGCAAUGAUGCAUAGCCGAGUUGAGAGACUGAUCGGCCACAUUGGGACUGAGACACGGCCCAAACUCCUACGGGAGGCAGCAGAA